UGGAUGGGUGGGUGUUUCAUAUCUAACUGCAUUCAUACGCAUCUAUUUGAGUGUAAGGUUAUCUGACUGUUUCCUAUCUGACUGAAUAACAUUGUGACUGAGUGUCUGUGUGUGACUUGGUGUGCUUGAGUUGUUUCGUUCUGUUGGGACAUUGGUUCCAAGGUAACUUUUUGACUCUGUGUAUAUAAGUCUGUUUCGCUAUUGAACUGAAUUCUGUAAUUAUGUUCUUAGUCUUGUGUCAGACUCACACCGAGCUCAUGUAGCUCACCCCCUUUAAUGUUUCCCUUGCAGGUACAUUUUCGUGUUUUGGUGCUAGACUCGAUAUGCGGAGGUCUCGAACAAC
rnacentral:lncRNA from 1 species